UUCGAUUCUGGCUCAGGAUGAACGCUAGCUACAGGCUUAACACAUGCAAGUCGAGGGGUAACAGGAGAGAAGCUUGCUUUCUGCUGACGACCGGCGCACGGGUGAGUAACGCGUAUCCAACCUUCCCCAUAGUAGAGGAUAGCCCGGCGAAAGUCGGAUUAAUACUCUAUGUUGUACAACGAGGACAUCUGAAUUGUACCAAAGAUUUAUCGCUAUGGGAUGGGGGAUGCGUCUGAUUAGCUUGUCGGCGGGGUAACGGCCCACCGAGGCAACGAUCAGUAGGGGUUCUGAGAGGAAGGUCCCCCACAUUGGUACUGAGACACGGACCAAACUCCUACGGGAGGCAGCAGUGAGGAAUAUUGGUCAAUGGGCGCGAGCCUGAACCAGCCAAGUAGCCGUGCAGGACGACUGCCCUAUGGGUUGUAAACUGCUUUUAUGCGGGAAUAAAGUUCGCCACGUGUGGUGUUUUGUAUGUACCGUAUGAAUAAGGACCGGCUAAUUCCGUGCCAGCCGCCGC
rnacentral:rRNA from 1 species